rnacentral:lncRNA from 1 species
CUUUAGCUAGGUGUUUCAUCCCUUAGCACCCAGUCGUCCUCAUUCAUCAAGUGGGGAGAGGGGAAGAAUUCCCAAUUAGCAGGGUUGCUAUAUAAACCAAAUAGAUAUGGAAAGCACUGCUCUAGGAGCUGGGACAUAAUGUACAUGGUCAGUGAUGGCUCUAGAGAUGAUGAUGGUGGUGGUGGUGGCAGUUAUGCUGAUAAUGAUGAUGAUGGGGCCAAUUAUGAUGGUGGAGAUGAUGAUGCUGACAUGGAUAAUGGUAGUGAUGAUGCUGAUGGUGACAGUUGUGAUGGAGGUGAUGAUGUUGACCGGGUAACAGUGAUAAUGAUGAUGGUGAUGGUGACAGUUACAGUGAUAAUCAUGGUGACAGUUAUGGUGGUGGAGGUGAUGACACUGAUAAUGGUAGUGAUGAUGCUGACGGUGACAGUUGUGAUGGAGGUGAUGACACUGAUAAUGGUAGUGAUGAUGCGGAUGGUGACAGUUGUGAUGGAGGUGAUGAUGCUGGCAGUGAUAAUAGUGAUGAUGCUGACGGUGACAGUUGUGAUGGAGGUGAUGACACUGAUAAUGGUAGUGAUGAUGCUGAUGGUAGCAGUUGUGGUGGAGGUGAUGUUGGAAGUGAUAAUGGUGAUGAUACUGAUGGUGACAGUUUUGAUGGAGGUGAUGAUGUUGACGGUGGUAACAGUUAUGGUGGUGGAGGUGAUGUUGGCAGCGAUAAUAGUGAUGAUGAUAAUGGUAACAGUUGUGGUGGAGGUGAUGACACUGAUAAUGGUAGUGAUGAUGCUGAUGGUAGCAGUUGUGGUGGAGGUGAUGUUGGCAGCGAUAAUAGUGAUGAUGCUGUUGGUAACAGUUGUGAUGGAGGUGAUGUUGGCAGUGAUAAUGGUGAUUAUAUGAUGCUCACGGUGACAGUUACAGUGAUGCUGAUGGUGACAGUUGUGAUGGUGGAGAUGAUGAUAAAUGGUAAUAUUAGUGAUGAUGAUGAUGAUGGGGUGGUGGUGAUAAACCAGCAUUUGAGGACCUAGGUUGGGCCCAUCGCUCAGAAGGAUAUAAAACUAGAAGUUUGAGUGAGAACUACUGCUUUCAAGAAUGUUUGGUGAGAUUAAAUUAAAAUUCUUGAAAAACUAUUCAACAGCUUGCUAUUAUUAGCAAUGAGGAUAUUUCACAUUUAGUCAGCAUUCACUUCUAUGCCAGGCAUGGCUCCAAGUAGUUUAUAUAUAUUUCUUUCUUUUUUUUUUUUUUUU